GUUUUUCCGUCCUCUGAUUGGUUCAGCUAAAAACCGUCGUCUAUUUAUCCCUCUGAUUGGUCGAGCGGAAUAUGCACAUGAGAAUGACUGAUUGACAGGGCUAAUGGCGUACAUGAUUAAAAACUCAUCUUCUAGCCGCGGUAUUCAUGAAAAAUUCACUUUGCGAGGCCAAGUCAACCAAAACUAGUUGCUGCCUGGCCGGUUUUUAACCUGGAAAAUGAUUCUUUUAACCCGGAAUAUGAUUCUUUUGGGCACUUUGAGGACAACAUGUAUGCUGACGAAAGCUAGCUUCCACAGGAGAGAAAAAAAGGAAGGUGGUUUUAACAUGUGGAUUAGCAUCUCCGGGUGACGGGGAGUGCUGGAGCCUAUCCCAGCUGUCAACGAGCAAGAGACAGGGGACACCCUGAACUGGUUGCCAGCCAAUUGCAGGUCACACAGAGACAAACAGCCGCACUCACAAUCACACCUAUGGGCAAUUUAUAGUGUCCAAGUAAUGUUGCAUGUUUUUGGGAUGUGGGAGGAAACCGGAGUGCCUGGAGAAAACCCACGCAGCCACAGGGAGAACAUGCAAACUCCACACAAGCAGGGCCGGGAUUUAAACCUCAAUUCUCAGAACUUUUUACAGUAAACAUCAACUGGGAGUGACAAACAGCUUGAAGCAAGGACACUUUGCCUCUUACUUGUAGAACCGCGGCCAAAGGCUGACCGGAACAAAACACAGUAACUGGCAAUAUGUGACAUAUUCCAUUUUGGAAGUGACUUGGCCAACACCGACCGUAAAUGAUUGACACUCUCAAAUAGGCCAGUGGAGUUACGGCUGACGUUUCUGGCUUGCAGCGGUGUGGCCCACUCCCAUGUGCCACCUGAGCAAUUUGGACCCCCACCCCCAACCAAAACUAAAAGGCAAAUAUGUCGCUAACA